rnacentral:rRNA from 1 species
AUGUUAUUUGCUGUAGGGUUUAUCUUUUUGUUCACCAUAAGAGGGCUCACUGGAAUAGUUCUAGCAAACUCUGGGCUAGACAUUGCUCUACAUGAUACUUAUUAUGUGGUUGCACAUUUCCAUUAUAUACUUUUUAUGGGAGCCGUUUUUGCUUUAUUACUGGAUUUUACUAUUGGGUGGGUAAAAUCUUUGGUCGGGGGCGGAGCUAGCGCCCGGCUAGCCUGGGCACUUGCCCGGGCUCACAAGUUACGCGACAUACUACGAUGGUACUGUCAUAACGGGGCAAAUUACUCCUCGUAUGGUGGUUUACCCGGGCAGUAG